rnacentral:rRNA from 1 species
AGCGUGCUUGAUCGGGUCUUUGUCUCGGCCCAAUGGGAAUUCAUUUUCCCUCUAUGCUCGCUCAGAGCGGUCACACGCAUCGGCUCCGAUCACACCCCUCUGUUGUUCUCCUCCGGCGAUGAUGCCCUUCCUAGGUCUCAUCGCUUUCACUUCGAAGCCUUUUGGCUGUCACAACCUGGCUUCAUAGAGAUGGUGAACACCCGCUGGCUCGAGGCUACUGCCUCCCCACCCCGUGUCUUCUGUGAUGUGGACAUCUUGCACCAUUGCUUUAGAUUGGCUAGGCAGCUCAUGCAAGGCUGGUGGGGCAACCUCGGUGCUGAGCUGAGGGCCCGCAAGGGGGCCCUCUUAGAUCAGAUUAAGGCCCUUGAUAUUAUUGCUGAUGGCCCUAGUCCUUCACCUGACGAUUGGACCAGGCGCUAUUCCUCGGAGACCUCGUUUAUGGAGAUCUUCCAGGGGAAGAGUUGUUUUGGCAACGCCGCGGGCGCCAAA